rnacentral:tRNA from 1 species
GCACUCGUAGCUCAAUGGAAAGAGCAAAUGACUUCGAAUCAUUAGGUUGUAGGUUCGACUCCUACCGAGUGUG